rnacentral:rRNA from 1 species
CCUACGGGCGGCUGCAGUGGGGAAUAUUGCACAAUGGGCGCAAGCCUGAUGCAGCCAUGCCGCGUGUGUGAAGAAGGCCUUCGGGUUGUAAAGCACUUUCAGCGGGGAGGAAGGCGUUAAGGUUAAUAACCUUGUCGAUUGACGUUACCCGCAGAAGAAGCACCGGCUAACUCCGUGCCAGCAGCCGCGGUAAUACGGAGGGUGCAAGCGUUAAUCGGAAUUACUGGGCGUAAAGCGCACGCAGGCGGUCUGUCAAGUCGGAUGUGAAAUCCCCGGGCUCAACCUGGGAACUGCAUUCGAAACUGGCAGGCUAGAGUCUUGUAGAGGGGGGUAGAAUUCCGGGUGUAGCGGUGAAAUGCGUAGAGAUCUGGAGGAAUACCGGUGGCGGAGGCGGCCCCCUGGACAAAGACUGACGCUCAGGUGCGAAAGCGUGGGGAGCAAACAGGAUUAGAUACCCCGGUAGUC